AGUGAACGCUGGCGGUAGGCCUAACACAUGCGAGUCGAACGGCAGCACAGUAAGAGCUUGCUCUUACGGGUGGCGAGUGGCGGACGGGUGAGGAAUACAUCGGAAUCUACUUUUUCGUGGGGGAUAACGUAGGGAAACUUACGCUAAUACCGCAUACGACCUACGGGUGAAAGCAGGGGAUCUUCGGACCUUGCGCGAUUGAAUGAGCCGAUGUCGGAUUAGCUAGUUGGCGGGGUAAAGGCCCACCAAGGCGACGAUCCGUAGCUGGUCUGAGAGGAUGAUCAGCCACACUGGAACUGAGACACGGUCCAGACUCCUACGGGAGGCAGCAGUGGGGAAUAUUGGACAAUGGGCGCAAGCCUGAUCCAGCCAUACCGCGUGGGUGAAGAAGGCCUUCGGGUUGUAAAGCCCUUUUGUUGGGAAAGAAAAGCAGCAGGUUAAUACCCCGCUGUUCUGACGGUACCCAAAGAAUAAGCACCGGCUAACUUCGCG
rnacentral:rRNA from 1 species